CGUGGUUCGGAAACAACGUGAUUUGAAGAGAGAGAACGGUUGCUGAGUCAUCACAAACCGGUAACUCAGGUAGCAGGUUGUAUAACUCAGAGAGAGGACGUUGUCCGUAGCCGGAGAGGAGAGAAAAAUCAGCUUCGGUCUGGGCUAUUGUUACUGAAACGGCGUCGUUUGGAGAGACGACGAUGCUGGGCUUGGGCUCGUUUGGGUCCCAUGUUAUGCGGCCGGCGAGAGGGAGAUAG
rnacentral:lncRNA from 1 species